CACGCGGACACACCGACACGCGGACACGCCGGGCACCCUGGCGCCUCCCAACUGUUCCCGAUAAAACGAGUCUCCUGAGGCGUGGGGAGGGGAAGGGCUGCAGAAACAGCGAGGAGCCUGGCAUGAACGCUGGUCCUUACCACUAACUCUGAUGCCAAGGAACGGAGGGUAGAGAAGAAAGGGGAAGACACCCCAAAUUAAUCUUACCCAAAAGAUUUUGGUGGAUAUUCACAAAAUCGGCGUUUGCUCCCAGGGGGAUAUUUCAUCACUACACCAGCCUGGCAGGGCACUGGAGAGAAGGACCAAAGUGUGGCUGUGUCUGCUCUUGAGGGGCUUCCAUUUUUUUUUUAAGAAUUGAAAAAUGUUAUUUAAUUAAUUUAUUUAGACUAUUUUUCCAUGGUUACAUGAUUCAUGUUCUCCCC
rnacentral:lncRNA from 1 species